rnacentral:misc_RNA from 1 species
GACCGACAACACCAUCAGGUACAAUGCCAAGCGCCGCCACUGGCGUCGCACCAAGCUCGGAUUCUGAGCGUAUUCUCCUGAGUCGUCCGCCCUUGUCUAUUGAGCAUCUAAGGUUUGCUGUUAGGCGGCCGUUUAGGUUGAAUUUCAUGUCUCAUUUGGCUCUGUUGAGCAGUAGUUUUGUUGUUUCGGAUUUUGUGUUAGACUUUGUUGGUUAACUUAAUCAUGUUUGGUUGAUAUGAUAUCCUCUAUUUGC